CACGUAGGGCGCAAGCGUUGUCCGGAAUUAUUGGGCGUAAAGAGCUCGUAGGUGGUUUGUUACGUCCGCUGUGAAAUCCUAGGGCUUAACCCUGGGCUUGCAGUGGAUACGGGCAGACUAGAGGUAGGUAGGGGAGAAUGGAAUUCCUGGUGUAGCGGUGAAAAUGCGCAGAUAUCAGGAGGAACACCGGUGGCGAAGGCGGUUCUCUGGGCCUUUACCUGACACUGAGGAGCGAAAAGCGUGGGGGAGCGAACAGG
rnacentral:rRNA from 1 species